AGAAAUUUAUAUACGUAUUUUGAAACUUUCAGGAAUCAUUCUAGAAGAAGCAUCCUUGAUUGAUCAAGAAGGUUAGGUCACAAAUGGCAUAAAUAGACUAGUCUUUGUACAUGUUGUGAUAAGAUGUGUGCUUGUUUUUAUUGAAUGUUGUAGAGAUGCCAACUAUCGGCACAUGCUUAAUUGUCCUUGUUAAAAAUAAGAACCAUAGCUCAGACUUUGAUGAAUAUGCCUCUACCGUUGAGGGUCCGUAUGAUGUCCCUACCGUUGUGGAUGUAGUGGAUGAAUAUUUCUCUGCCAAAGAGGGUCUGCAUGAUGUUGAUGUCCAGAUGGUAGGUUACUCCCUUCUUUUGUCAUAAAAGUUUGUUGAUCUCUUCACAUUACCUUUUAGGAUCUGUAUGGUGUCCCUGCCGUUGAAGGUCCGUAUAAUGUUCCUGUCAUUGAGAGUAUAGUGGAUGAAUAUUUAUCUGCCGAAGAGGGUCCAUAUGACGCUGAUA
rnacentral:lncRNA from 1 species